rnacentral:rRNA from 1 species
GACGUCAAGUCAGCAUGCCCCUUACGCUCUGGGCGACACACGUACUACAAUGGUCGGGACAGAGGGCAGCUAACCUGCGAAGGCAAGCUAAUCCCAGAAACUCGGCCUCAGUUCAGAUCGCAGGCUGCAACUCGCCUGCGUGAAGGAGGAAUCGCUAGUAAUCGCCGGUCAGAAUACGGCGGUGAAUCCGUUCCCGGGCCUUGUACACACCGCCCGUCACACCAUGGAAGCUGGCCACGCCCGAAGUCGUUACCCUAACCUUUAGGGGAGGGGGACGCCGAAGGCAGGGUUGGUGACUG